CGAUCUCUGAAAGUUCAUUCUCUUCUGAUAAUAAUGAGGAUGAAGAUGAUAAUCUCAUUGAAAUCAGUUUUCCAGAUAAUAAUUCUGUUGAGUUGAAUGAAGAUUCAGAUGAAAAACUGCAGACAGAGUACUUACCUGAGUCCAUUUUCAGGCAAGAAGGUCUAAUGGAGCUAUUAGCGGAUAUUAAUGAGGUGAAUGAGGAAGAUAACUUGAUUGAGAUUGACCUCUCCAUGGGCUCAAUAAAGGGUCGAAGUCUAGACAUUGAAGAAUAGGCCAGCCGAUCUUCAAAAGUUAUAUAUAUAUUUUUUUCAUUCCGUAACUGAGGUUGAUGCUAGGGUUUAGGUUUAGGAUAACAAAUACUAUUUUUGUGAUGCUUGUGUUUUUAUGAAGCUUCUGCAAUAUUAUUAACUGGGCUUAUAUUACCGAAUUUAAUAUUGUUGGAUUGUCUCAGUUGUCAUCAUUCUUAUAUAUUUUAAAAUUCACCCAGAAUCAAUGCAGAACAUCGGCCCAGUGCUAAAUCCACAACUAGUUUACUGGGAAGUACGAAACCUCAGGGAAAAAAUUUGCGAUGCUUAAAGGUAUUCAAUAUACAUUGACAUGAAGUCAUCAAUGCCUAAAGAAAUGUAAGUUGCAAAGACUACAUCAUCAACAAGGUUUCAAACUCAACUGGACCAAAAAUAAUCAUUCUCAACUUUGUAUGCCCUAUUCUGUAACAAGUAAUGUCCUAACCCUUGUAUAAAAAAAUGGUGAUCAAUCUUAAUUAAUGUCACAGCCCAAAAUUCAGAGGAGAGCCUUAACAGAACUUUGCAAAUGAACAUGGUUGCAUUAUACUUCUUUAACUCUGAACAAAGAUCUUAAGCAGCCCAAAUCUUUCAUUUGAUGCCAAGAAACUCUAAACGAGUUGCUGUUGGCGUCAAACCAUGCUCUGACAGAUAAUCGGCAUUAUAGAACUUACUAAGAUGCCUCAUCCCACUAUCGCAUAGAAUGGUUACAAUUGUGUGACCAGGGCCAAUUGACUGUGCAACUCUAACAGCCCCCACACAAUUCAUGGCUGAAGAGCUCCCCAGAAAGAGACCAUCAUUAUUUAAAAGAUACCUGAGAAUAUUUCAAGUCAGACGUAUUGUGAAAAGUGUGAACCUCAGGAGAAAAAACCAAAAAACAUUUUUUGUUCAUCGUUAGGAUGCCGUGGUAGAAAGACAGUGGGAAAUGGAAUACCAGGGAACAAUAUCAAUUAUUGAGCUAAGUUAUUUCAUACAAAAAUGCCAAGGGUAGGAUUAUUUCGCAAUCUUUUUCCAUACAAUGAAAACCACUAAAAACCUUUCCAUUUGGAGGUAAAUAAGAAGAAACAAAUGGUGGGUAAAACAACAGCAAAGGCGUGCAUUAGACCAAUUUAUCCACCAGGACAUUGGAUACAUCUUUUCCAGUUACUAUUUUCUUAACCAACUAUUUUAAAAGAAGAAAAUAAUGAAACAGUUAACAAGGAUAGAGCAAGGACUGACCUUGACAUUUCAACAGCCUCCUUAUCUGUGCCUCUAAAAGCACCAUCAAGUUUUGCCAUAAUAAAAUUCUGUGUUACCCUGUUAAUUCCAAUCCCUUCUGUUAUUGUGUCAAAUGGAUUCUUUAGCCUUUUCCCUUCAGCCUCCUCUUUAGUGUACAUGACCCCUCUUUUUACCUUAUUAAACAAACCAGAGCCAGGAGGAUCUAUGAGAAAGCACUUGAUAUUUGAAUUCUUUUCCUGCAGAAACCUAGAAACUCCCGCCAGAGUCCCCCCAGUGCCUGCAGCAGCCACAAAUGCAUCUAAAUUGCCACAGGUUUGUUCCCAAAUCUCAGGACCAGUGCCCUCAUAGUGGGCCCGAAAAUUUGACAAAUUUUCAAAUUGAUCAGCAAAGAAACCACCAUUACAAUAUCUUGAGAAAACCAAACUUUGCAUCUCUCCAUCAGAUCUAUAACCAUUAAUUUGCUCUGGGCCUCCAUAAAUUUGGUCAUCUUUUCUAAGCUUUGAUGCUAAUUCAUUUGCUUCUAAUGCCCUUCGCCUAGCAACAUUGACAUAGUGGUCUUUGUGUGUAAUUGAAACUGGUCUGACCCUUUCAACUGUAGCUCCCAAAGCUUCAAGAAUUUGGGACUUCUCAAUAGCAACAUCAUCUGGGAUGACCACAUGGCAUCUGCAUCCAUAGGCAUGAGCCACUGUAGCAAGGCUGAUAGCUGUGCUUCCAGCGCUUCCCUCAGUAACAACUCCGCCGUGGACUAGCUGUGCAGAUUCCAGAGCCUCUUCAAUUAUUUUCACAGCAACCCUGUCUUUCACACUGCCCCCUGGAUUCAGAAACUCGCAUUUGCCAAGAAUUUCACAACCGGUAGCUUCAGAAAGGCUAUUGAUUCUAAUCAAGGGAGUAUCACCCACAGCAUCAAUAAGUCCAUUUCUUGGUUUCUUCUUCUUUGAGAGCUGCAAAUUCUUCUUCUUGGAUAUGUAUUUGGGGAGCAUGUAAGAAAGCACAGCCACGGACAAGCAGAUCGCAGCUAUAACGGCUGCUUUGGUUUUCACAGGAGCCAUUGGGGCGGUUCAAGUUGCAGACCUCCUUGAUC
rnacentral:misc_RNA from 1 species